AGCAGCCGCGGUAAUUCCAGCUCCAAUAGCGUAUAUUAAAGUUGUUGCAGUUAAAAAGCUCGUAGUUGAAUUUCGGGGUCUGUCCGUCGGUCGGGCUUCACAGUCCGUACUGGUGUGAUGGGUUCCUACCUUCUGAAUAACCGGCAUGCCAUUCAGUUGGUGCGCCGGGGAAGCAGAGCUAUUACCUUGAAAAAAUUAGAGUGCUUAAAGCAGGCUAGUGCUUGAAUAGAUUAGCAUGGAAUAAUAAAAUAGGACGGCAUGGUCCUAUUUUGUUGGUUUCUAGGAUCACCGUAAUGAUUAAUAGGGAUAGUUGGGGGCAUUAGUAUUCAAUUGUCAGAGGUGAAAUUCUUGGAUUUAUUGAAGACUAACUUCUGCGAAAGCAUUUGCCAAGGAUGUUUUCAUUAAUCAAGAACGAAAGUUAGGGGAUCGAAGACGAUCAGAUACCGUCGUAGUCUUAACCAUAAACUAUGCCGA
rnacentral:rRNA from 1 species